CUCAUUCAAUCGAAAUGUAAUAGUGUUAGUGUUUACGAUCUCAACCAAUUUCCCAUACGUGUGGAUGUGUGCGUGUUUGCUUGUCCUUUGCCAUCAUUCUACGCAAAAAUUGUGCACCAUUCUCAACAAAAACAUCGAAAUUAAAUGAAAGAUUUCGAUUUUUUUCACUGCAAUUCAUGGCGUUAUGAAAAAAAGUGAUUUUCUGUGAACAAUUUCAAUGGGAGUGACGAAAUCCAUUCAAUAUGUCUGGGCUACUGUUGUGUUCAUCAGAAAGAUGCAACCUUUGAUUGUUAUCGCCAUCUUGCACACAAUAGACAAACUAAUACGUAGCAGCGUUUAGAUGCCAAUGAAAUGAAGAGAAGGAGAAAAUACACAUCAAAGAUUCAUUAUUUAUCGACUGUUUAUUCGGUUAUGUGGAACUUCAAAAGAUCAAUGGCAAUGUGUAGAAUGUGUAAAAUGUGUCAGGCGAAAGAGAAACAAAAAAAAUUCAAUGAAAAUUUCAUUUGAGAACAAACGAUAUUAAAAUGCAAUCAAGAUUUCAUUUGGGGCAAGGACAUGCAAUGCAAACAGGAUAUCAACGGAGAAAAAAAAAUCCCAAAUCAAAUUGAAUCGUUUUAAUAUCAAUGCAGUUUAAAUAAUAAAUUCGGAAACUUAUCAAUUGAAUGAACGGAUGUUCUGUAUCAAAUCCAACUAAAUCGAAGGAGCUAUUAUGUGUGGGUACUGCACGCACACGUCGUUAAAGUGUGAAAUAAAUGCGAUCAAAACAUGUGGAAGAACCAUUUCUAUAUGCAUACAUAAAAAAUGCAUAAUCAAAAUCACGAUGAAACAGAUUGUAGAGCUAGACAUAAUUGCGCUUAUGCCAAGUAUGUCGCGCGCGUGUAUUUGCGCGAAACGGAAAACACUUUGUGUAAGAGAGAGCGAGAGCGAUCGAGUGCAAUUUUCGCGUUUUUCCUCAAACGAUGUACGCUUUAAGUACGGAAAUCAAAAUUUGUAAUCACAUUAAGUACGCAUAUCGGGUUACCUUAUGUAGAUAAUGUUUCGUCAUUGAUAAACUUUGCUUCCAAUUAGCUUCAGCGAGUUCAUACACACAGCAAGCGUUUCUACCUCCAAUACCAUUAUUAUUAUUGUUAUUUUUCAUUUUUCCUCUUCUAUGGCCUGCUGAUGUUGUUGUUGUUGCUGCUAUUUCUUCGAUAUUAUUUCUCUCCGCUCAUGGAGAGCCAUAAAGACAAAUGGAAAGAGGAGAAAGCUCUCUCGGCCACGGAGAUAAAGAGAGAGAGAGAGAAUGCUGUGUUUGUGUUAGCAUUAAAUCACAUAUAUCCGAGAACAGAGUGAGCGAGAGCAUACACAAACGCGCAUUCACACAUCAAAACACGAACACAUUGAUAUCCACACAAAAACGUAGCCUAAUAAAUAAAUGCGCAAACACCAAGAGAACAACAAAUACAAAACGUGUUCAUGUAUCAUGGCUGUCGCCAUUGUAUAAUUAUUGUUCACAGUAAUACAUUUUCCCUAAUAUCAAAUAGUAAAACACACACGCACGACGACAGCAACAGCAGCAGCAGCAGUACCAAGCAGCAAGCAGCAAGCAGCAGCAGCAGCCAAGGUACAAACGAACACAUGAACCUAUGCACGCAUUCUCAGAGCAUCGAAAACAAUACCCACCACACUCAUAUAUUCCAUCGUAUACGGAUGCAUAUUUAUGAUAUAUACACACACACGCAGUCCGAGAAAAAAGUGAAGAAAAAAGAGUCGCAGUCGCAAAACAUAAAUGUCGAUUUCUUGAAUAAAAUGUGUGUGUUCGUUCGACAGAGAGGAAAAAAAAUAAUAUUAGAAGAAGAAAAAAAAACUGAACUGUGUGACUGAUUUCGAAUAAACGAAAAAACAGGAAAUUUAUUUAUUUUUGUGUGUGCGUGUACUGUGAUUUCCUUUUUGUUUAUCACGACAUUCUGUUUUCAUCAAAUUCAGCACCAAGAUUUCAAAGAAGAUGUGAAAAUAUUGAAGUUUUUUUUUGUUGUGUAUUCUGUGUGAACGCUAACAACAACUAGAUUAAUUUUUUUACCUCACAAACAUACCAUCCGAUCCAUGCAAUUGUGCAUGGCAUGUGAUACAAAUUAAACGGGCAUCAGUUUUAGUUUUUUUUUUAAUUGCAUAUACCAAGUAUCCGAAAAUAUAAAACGCAUAAAUAUUUCUCGCGGUUAAAAGCGAUUCAGUGAAACACCGUUCAACGAAAUAAAUCAAUUGUGAGUGAAGGAAAAUUGUACGGCAACGAUUUGUGUGUAUGAAUGAGAAUAUUAUCCCCGACGGGAUCAUUUUUAACGCCAAGUCCAUCACCUUCAAUACCAGCUAGCCCAAGACUACAACCAUCACCAUCACAAUCACCGUUUCAGUCAGAUGUGAUUGUUAUAGGAAAUAACUCGAACCAAGACAGCGUAUCUGCGCCAAUCAGGCGACAAUCUUUUAAUCAAAUCAGUAGCCCGAACACUAGCGCUGUGGUUUUCAGGCCGAGUCCUACUCAAUCACCGGCUGCUGCCACAACUGUUGUUGGCGUAGUCGGUAAUGAAUUCAAUACAACUUUAGUUGGAUCCAACAAUAUUUCAUUGAAUAAGAAGGGUAAGCGAACCGCUGUUAAUCAGCAUGGAAGUGGAUCUGUUAAUACAGGCAACUCCAAAGCUUCCUCGUCGACGUCGUCGGCGAAAAAAGCAGGACAAACAGCAGCCACCAAUAUAAUAACCAGUACAGAUUUAUUUGCUAAAAAUAUUCGAACGCCGCCACCAAUGCAAUCGGUUACAUAUUCAAAUAGCUCAACUCCGAUAUCCUAUCAACCGGUUCUAGGUGGUGCGGUCAUUCAGCAACAAGCAAAUCAGGUGCAAAUUCCUAAUGCUGCAACAGCAGUAAAGCAAAAUAAAUUACCACCACAAAUAUUACCCAAGCCGAACAUUUCAAACAGCAGUUCUGUGAUCACGCAACCUAAAAACACGAUUUCAAUGUCGACCGCUCAAUGUGAACCUAAUCUAACGCAACAUCAACAACAUCAACCCACUCAGCCACAGUUGAACACACAACAAAUGCAAUCCAAUACACAAACGCCGACACCACAGCCAAACGCACCAUUGAUCACCACAGCACAACAUCCAGGUCCGCAAGCAUCACCUAUAAUUUUACCGAAUUUGAACCAAUUGCUGUUGAAUCAAAUGCUUCAGCAAAAUGCCCCAGUGAUCCUACAACAGAAUGCUCCUCAGGGUGUUCAAUUAAUUUUAAGGCCGCCAACUCCGCAAAUUGCUGUAAUUCAUAAUUCUCGGCCGCAGAUUCAGACGCCGCAACAACCACAACAAUUGCUUCGGAUUGUCAAUGCAAAUGGGCAAAUGCAAUUAGCAACUGCGACACCAACAUUUAUCGUUUCGUCACAGUCCAAUUUAAUUCAGCAAAAUUUGCAAGGGAUUAAAGCUCAAACGACCAAUCCAUUGAAUCAAUUGCAAGGCCUUACAUCGCAAGCGCCACAACAGAUAGCCGCCAUCAGUGGUGGUCAAAUCAUUGGCCGGAGCAUGGCACAGAUCCAAUUGAACGGGAAUCUUGCACAAAUUCAAAUGCCAAAUGGCUUGAACGGCCAAUUUAUAUCGCAAAUACCGGCACAGUUUCAACAAAAUGUCACAGGUUUCAAUCAAUUCAAUCAACUAGGUAAUACAAAUUUUCAACAAUUGGCUACCACGGCCACCGGUACAUACAUCCAAUCACCGCCGCCGCAACAAUCAUCUGAUAUGGUUGUAACGGGACCGAAUAUUCAAUUCACCACCCAACAAACAUCACAGAAUGUGUCUGUUGCUCAACCAAUACCUUCAUCGCAAAUCAUCGCUGUGCCCCCACAACAAACCCAAUUAAUACCGACAACAAUUCCCACACCAGAACCAAUUCGAAAUCCAACACCCAUUCUACCUACUAAUGCCGUUAUUGUUCCCGAUUCACCGAAAAAUCAAAUCUUUUCACAGCAACAGACUACAAGUGAGCUAUCAACCCAAGACGUAGCGCCCACAACAAAAAAGCCUGCCAAAAAACCGAAAAAACCCAAACCGAAAAAGGAUUCAACAAAUCAACAGCCAACAGCACCACUGAUACAAACAUCACAUUCAGUUGCCGUUACAUCACAAACACAAAGCCAUGCCAAAAUUGUACAGUCGAGUAAUCUGCCCGUUGUGAGUCAAGCACCAGUCACAACACAGUCAAGUCAAGCAUCACAGUUACCAUCGCUAACAACAAGCACUGGAAAAUUGGAUUUGGCCAAUGUUAUGAAAUUGUGCGGAAUCAUGGAUGAUGAUGAUUUUAUGGAUACGGACGAAACGCCGCCACCACCAAGUUCCACACCGUAUGACAUGCCGACAAGCCUAAGCACUACAACACCAAGUGAUAUAAUGGUCACCAUACCAUACGUACAAAAUUCCGAUAUGUCGCACAAUCGAGCUUUUUCAUUUACAAUACCAUCGGUAGAAGGUGGCAACACGUCGAUGACAUCGUUUCAGGAUGCUUCUGUUAAGUCGACAAUGUCGCGGCCAAACGGUGAUACAAUCAUUAGUGCGACAACAAUCGGCACCGAUGCAAAAAUGCCAACCGAUCGCCAGUACAUGAUAAAAAUUGACAAUAACGACGGCACACCACCGUUUCCACUUUCGAUAACAUUGCCACACAAUCUGGGCCCAACGGAUAGCGCUGAAAGCAAUAAAAUUGUUUCAAUGCAACCAGUAACAACAUCACAAAGCAAUCAAACGCUGCCAUUGACCAAUUCAAUACCAACGCCAACGCUACAAAGCCAAAUAAAUAAAAUUCAAAAUCAAUUGAUUGGCGUGCAGAACAGUUUAGCGCCAACGAAUAUGUCGAGUACAAUGAGUACAAUGACUGCUGCCAGCACUACGGCUAUUUCAACGACAACGCUAACAACAAGUUCCGCCCAAAAAACAACCAAAAAGAAGCAAACCAACAAACGAAACAAUAAAAAAGUUAUGGAAACUAUUAAUGUGCCAAGUCAAAUUGGAAACAUCCAGAUAUCGCAAGUGGACCGAAACAAAUGUACACCGAAUCAAAGUGGAAAGGCGAUUGAAAAUCAAAUUCAAAUUACACCAAUUGUGGACUCAAGUAGAUCAGUGACACCGAACACCUCGCAACUAUCGAACAAUGUGAUUGGCAUCACAUCGUCGCAAACGCAACAGGUCACAUCAUCCAUCAAUAGUUUGGGCAACAAUCAGGGAAUCACAAUGAAUUUAAAUCAGCAGAUACUCAACAUUCCGAACAAUGUGCAGAUAAUCGCAUCGUCUUCUAGCAAUAAUUUAAGUACUCAUGGCAAUAUCAUAACAAAUUCGAUUUCAUCGAAUCCGGGAUCCAACAGCGGCGGUGUUAUUAUCAAUACAUCCCAAUCGUAUCCGCAUAUCGGCUUACAACGACCAACCAUUCAAUCGUCCAGCGUGCAAACCAUUACCAGUUCGGGUGCACUGAUCAAUACAAGUGCUCAAUUGUCACAGGCGAACAAUGCACCGCGUCAAAUCCAUAUGACAAUGCAACCAACACCGAGCAUCCAGAUGCAAAUGUUACCAACCAAUCCAAUUCAAGCCGAACCACCGCCACCACAACCACCAUCACAGAUGACCACAUUGCCACAGUUAACGGGUAGUUUGACACUAUCCUUUUCCGAAGACGGUCGACUGCUUUUGAAGCACAAUGCGAACGCUCCACAAGAUUCACAAUCCCAAAUGAUCUUGCAAGCCAUUCUGAGCGGUGCUCUGUGCAAUGUAACGCUCAUCAAUGAAACCACUGCGACCACACCCCAGCCAAAUAUUCAACAGACCAAUAUUAUUGACAGCAAUAAACCAUCAAUAAUCCUCAAAUCAAACGAAGCUGUGCCAAAGCCGAUCAUUUCAACCAGCAACACGAUGGUCACAUAUGCCAACGACCGACCGCCUAUGAUGACAUCACAACUACCCACACAGAAACCGCCGAAUUUUCCGAAUAUGAUACAAAACAUUCAACAGCAACAACAGCCACAACCGGCACAAAUCCAAUCAAUACCGCAACAGCAACAAACAUCACAGAAUAUCACGGCCAAUGUAAUGGGCAAUGUGCUUACCAACAGUUUUCAUCAAACACCACCACCCCAACAGCAGCAGCAGCAGCAGCAGCAACAACAACAACAACAACAACAACAACAACAACAACAACAACAACAACAACAACAACAACAACAACAACAACAACAACAACAUCAACAACAACAACAACAACAACAACAACAACAGCAGCAGCAACAGCAGACAACGAAUCCAGGUGUGAUGCCAACGACCACAAUUGAAUUGCCGAAAAUAGCACCAAAUCAACAAUUAUUUUCAUUGAAUACGAUAACAAAUCAAAUUACACAACUUUCACCCGGUCUCACAACGGCCGCUCUCGGUCCAAUGGAACGGCUACUCAUUGUACCAGCCGGUGUGAACAAACAACAGCUGGCCAAAUGCUUAAUACAGGGUCAAAUUCAUUUUGAUAACAUUGGACAGGCGACACAAGCAUCAAACGAAGCCAAACCAAUCAUUCAGCAGCAGCAGCAGCAACAACAAUCAAUGCAGCAAACUACCAUUCAGCCCAAUCAAAAUCAAGCGCCACCGCCCCAAAUUCAGACACAAAAUCAUCUUCAGCAACAGCAACAAAGGCAAAAUUUACAAAAUUUAAAAGCGUUGGCACCAACAAUGGCUGCCGUACAACCGAAUGUUGUUACCGCAAAACCCGAACCAAAACCCAAAAAAUCACGUUCGAAAAAGCCAAAAGCCGAAACAAAUAAGAAUUUAGCCAAACCAGAUGUAGUUGGAAAAAUGGAUGAAAAUUCAAAGAAAGAGAACGAAGUGUCCAAGAAUAAUAUAAUAAUAUCCACAAAUGUUCCGGCCGAUGGGAAUGUCACGCUAAAAUUACCAAAUGAAAUGCAAACCAAAUCAAUAAAUGUAUCGAAAAUGGUGAAUGCCGCCGGUGGUCAAGCGAAUAACAACAACCACAUACAUCCAAUGAUGCAAACUUCAAACAACGAACUGAUACUCAGUACCGCUUCGAAUGCACCGCGUAUCAUACCACAGCCAAAUAUAAUGUCAACGCAACCAAUCAUAUCGCAGCAACCGCAUCAAGUAAAUGCUACAAAAAUUGGCCAUGCAACCGCACAAAGUAUACAGCAAAAGAGUUUAACGAUCACCGUUAAUACAUCACAAUCGAAUUUACCGCCGUUGAUCAGUGUGAGUCAGCCACAGAUGAUGGUCUCGCCGACGCACGUGCCUCGAGUACAAACCAUUCAACUAACGCCACAAAAGCAACAAUCUCUCAAAACGGUGCAAAUGCAAAUACAAACUUUGUCUAGUCGUUUGCAAAAUAAAAGCCUGUUGGCAUCCAUUCGACCGGAUAUGAGCCCAUCGAAUCCGCUAUACAAUAAACCAUUGCCGGUGCUAACCAACCUCAAUUCGAUGAACGACAUGGACAUUUAUCAGGCAUUGCAACGUUUAUUCAUUGAACAACAGAAAAUAUUGGCAACGGGCAAAGUUAUAUCAACACUACCGGCCGGUCCGAAUUUUUCGGCAAAUGUUCCAAUUUCGACGGCACCAAUUAUUACCGCAAAUCAAGCGACGGUGUCACCGGUGAAAAAGGUCAUCGUCGAAAAUAAGCCAAACAAUGUAAUUGUAUCGACCGCGCCGCCAUUGCCAAUUAACAGUAAAAUGAAAUCGAAUUAUGCAGCGAGACCGGUACAAAGUAUGCAGCCCGUAUGCAUCGUUUCGCCGCAACAACAACAGAAACCGCCCGCACCAAUGGCAAAAUGCGAAGUGACUUCAACAGCUGCCACAUCAAUGCCGAUUGUCAGUCCAGUCGUAUCGAUCGCCAAAGAAGGAACAAAACCAAUCUGUUCGCCAAAGCCAGCCGAACCCAUUCAAAAAGUACAAACAUCGACAGCAUCGUGCCAGCCACCGGAACCAAUACCCACACAAUCAAUUCAACCGACACUCGUAUCCCGAACUAGUUUGUUUGAGAAUCAGUUGGCCAUUGAUCAAGAUAGUUGCAUUCACCCGGAUUACAAGAGCCCGUUUCGAAGCAAAGAAGAUGCCGUCAAACGACUGAUCAGAUAUCACUGCAUAUACUCUGAGAAUGAUCCAGAUAAUGAGCAUCAAUCGGAAGACGAGGAUCGCUUCGUCAAUGCCGCAUAUGAUUUGAGAGAAAGAUACAAUCUGAUGAUGAACAAGUAUCAGAUGCUCCUCAUGAAGGAAUCAAUGCGCACUGUUCGAACAUCCGAACUGAUGAUGUUAGAUCGAAUCCUUGUGUCGGAUAUUCAAGAAGAAAUUUCACAUAUUCAAUCUGAAUUGAAAAGUCUAAAUGAAGAAAUGUUCGAGCCGCAAGUUAAUAAGUCUCCGGAUGCAACAUAUGGAUCCGACAAAGUCAAUACCAAUGUGUUUACAGUCCAGCGGGAUCAUGUAAAAUCGAGUUGUGGCACCAAAGAUAAUGAUGAUGUUGAAUGUGAUGAGAAGCCAUCGAUCGAUGUGAUUAAGAAAAAUUCGGAGAAAAUCCACGAUUCAUUCGUUCUGAAUAACGCGAAUCAAGCGGUCAAGAAUGAAAUGAAGAACGAACAGGAUAUGAUUCCAACCACUGUGACCGAGUUCAAUGCAGCGAAUGUGGGUCGACAGACUUCAUACAAAAGUAGUAUUCAUCAACAGCACCAUCAUCACAACAACAGCAUCAAUAUGAAUGCGGGUAAUAUGACAUCGACAAACAUUCCGGAAAUGGACAUUAAACCAUCAUUUCCGCCGGUGUCCAAUAAGGAGAAUUCUCUUUCUCAGCUCGAUAUGAACUUUAGCUACGAUUCAAGCCUACUUGGUCCACAGAAACGUAACCAGAGCACAUUUGAUGUGAAGAAAGAACUUGACAAUUUGGAUAUCGAAUCGGAAAUCAUGCCGAGCUACAUCAUCAAAAAGUGUGAUCAACCGAACCGCGAAAUCGUUCAUAGCCCAUUGAGCUCAUCUGAUUUCGAUUAUUUGUGCAGUCCCAGCGACAGCAAUACAAAUCAUGCGACCAGCAAUCGUCGAAAAGAUGAAUUGAUCUCCUGUGAUAAAGAACACGAGUACGACGAAUGGCUUUGCAUUCAAAAGGAACUGAAUCUAAUUUCGGAUAAGCGAUCGAAUGAUCACCUAAAUAUUGAUGGUUUCAUGGAGUCUACACUACGGAAUUUCAGCAAUGACGAUGAAAGUCCAUGUUCCAGUUCAAAACUGAAUGUGGACAAUCAGUUUUCGGAUUUAUUCAACCAGCGACCCAACGAUGCACACAAUCUUGAUGAUGAAAAGUCCGAUAUCGACGGUCAUUUGCCAUUAUCGGAACUGUUCAAUGAUUCAAUCGUCAAUAAUGCGGUGGACAAUGUUGAUGCAAGCGAUAAAUCGGUGGAAAAUCGUCUCGAGAAUAUGUUCAAUGACAAUCCUGACUUUGAUAAAACCAACGAUUUAGUUGAAUCACGGCUGGAGGAACUGUUCCAUGGUUCUUCACCACCACAUUCAUCGGUGAAUUCGUCACAAGUUGUGAACAAAAUGAAUCAAUCAUUCCAUCAGGUGGAAAAUCAUUCCGAAUUCAUGAUGACGCACCAACAAACAACCGGUUCGAAUAAACGGCACUGGCCCAACAAUGGUGAUGUGCUGCCGCAAAUGAAUAUGAAUCAAUUGCAUCCGGCAAAGCGAUCGUGUAUGAUGAGUUCAUUCAUGGAGACCACCAAUUCCGAUGAUCAUCAAUGGAUAAUGGAUUGUCAGCAAGCGACCAGCUAUGAUUUUCACAUCGAUGCCGAGGUGAACAAGCGAAAUGGCGGUGGCUCAUGGAAUGGCAUUAUGAACGGUUUAGCCUGUGAUAACGGCAUCGAAAAUGAGAAUGUGGUGAUGAUGGGCGGCGACAUGGAUCAAAAGAAACAAACGUGUUUCAAUGCGAUGUCUGUGAAAACAAAUGAUCUAAUUGAACGUGAUCUCCUAGGUUUAAGUGCGCAUUCGUCGCCAUCAACACUGGACAAUGCCAAUUCGGUAUUGAUGCAAUUGCAACAGAAUCACUUGCACAAUGACAACGUUGUCUAUCAAACGGGUGCUGAUAAUGGUGUAUCACAGGCAAAUGCAGCCAAUCCAAAUAAUAUUGCGCCCAGUUUUGAUGACGACAUGGUGAAUCAGCACGUGCAAAAUGCAAUCGAUUCAAUUCUCAAUUUGCAAAAUAGCGAAAAUGAAUCAUUGCAUUACUUGGACCCAACGAUGGGCUCAUUUUUGUCCGACGGCCCAUUGACACCGGCCCAUAUUCAUCAGCAGGCAUCCACAGCGAACGAUUUUCAUUUUUCACCGUCUCAAACCACCCAUCAAAAUUCAUCGUUUCUAAGCUGAUUGAAUAGCGAAGUGGUAUUCUAAAAUGCAUUCAAACUAUUGGACACAAACACGAAAACUGCUGAUCCGCACAUUAAAUAGCAAUUUCUAUGUAUAUGUAUAUGUUGUUGGCAUUGAAAAGGACAAACAAAUUCAUUUUUUAUUCAAAAGAAAAACUUUUUUUUUGACAAAAUGCAAUGUUCAGUCUGCAAUACGGAAAAAAAAUUGUUUUCAACACUUUGGCGCACAUACACACACACACACACAAACAGACACGAUCUCCUUGUAUACAAGCUCGUCGAUGAUUGUGGUUCAAAUGGAGCUUAACAGAAAAUGAUGAGCGACAACAACACAAUUAUAUGUUUUUGAUCAUUUGACCAUGGAAACGCUUGUAUCCAGCUUUUAAAAUUAUUUAAUUUAUUUGCAUACUUAAAAAAAAUUAAAACGAAAUCAUUUGAUGAUGAAAUUUCCGUGCAUUCUUUUAUAAAUGACACACACACACACACAUACAUACACAACACUCUCUUAAGCGGCUAAUGUCAUCGUAUUCGUCCUCUGCAUCAUGUAACAUCGUCAAAAGAAGAAUUCAUUUCUUCUGCCCGUUGUCAUUUCAGUGACAAUGAAAAUUCGAUUCGAACACAUAUCAAACGCAACACUUCUCUAUCGAAUGCUGGAUGGAACGAGUUUUGCUCGAGAUUUGAUAUAGGAUUUUGGUUUCGAAUAUGAGCCCAGAUCUAUUGCAUAUAAUUUUGAACAAUGGACUUUAACAUCGACUGUCACAGCAGUCCAACAAUAUGUUUGCAUGAAAUGACUUUUUAUUAUUUCAGAUCUUGGGAAGGAAAAAAAACAUCUCUUGGAGAAUCAACCACCGAAGGGAUGAAGCUGAACUUCAUUUUGAUCUUCAUUCAAAAACAAUUGUUGAUUUUAUGAACGAGAAAAGAAAUUUUGUGUCUAACAUGUACUUUAAAAUUCGACAACGUGUGUUGUUUUACAGGGUUUAAAUUAUUUUGUGGUAUCCACACACGUUCACAGAGAUGUUUUGUUAUGACUGUCAAUAUCUCGUAGCGAAAACAAAAACCGACACGGGAAUUAUGCAUGAGAUUCAAUGGAGUUUGCGUCAUUUGUAAGGGAGCUCACGAUGCAAAAACGAAAUGUUUGGUUUGGUUGUAAUUUUGUUUAGAUGAAUUUAGUAGAAAAAAAACUAACACAUGAGACAUAGAGAAUUGAAAAUGAAAUGUAAAAAAGAAAACAAAAAUUUUAAAAUCGAUAAAUUGCACAAAAGACUGUACUAAAAAAAAGAAGAAACUAAUGACUAGCCUUAGGGUGCUGGAACAAAAGCAAAGCGAAACGUUUUAUGUGCGAGCGUUUGUGCGUUUUAAUUGUGGCACACAACAUGCUGAAAUGACCGAUACAAGAAAGGAAAAAGAGAGUGACUUACUUGUUGGAUAAAAAAUUGGUUAUUUCUCUGUAGCAAAAUUUCAUAAAUUAAAUAACUAAAUCAAGCGAACAGGGAGCGAGAAAUUGGGCGAGAAAGAAAGACAAAGAAAAAAAAUGCUGAACAUGAACACACACACACACAUGUGUUCAAUAUUAAAGAAAAUUGUUCGAUUGCUACCAACUUCGGCAUGACCGAAAGAAUGAAAAAAAACAUAGGUGUGUCUUUAUGAAAAAUUCUUUAGUUUUAUUUAUUAAUAGCAAUUUUUUUUCUUGCGUAUCCUUAGCGUGAUUUAUUGUGAAAAAUAAAAUAUAUUUAUUUUUAGUUGUACAAAUUCGAAGAGUAAA